AGCAUAACUGUGGGAGAAUAGUAAGCAUUGGACACAAAAUGGAAAAGCUGACCUUCUAGUACGGAAGAGCAUGAGCAGUGAGUGAGCAGUGCCCAUGCGUUGUGAGGCGGCCUCCAUGGUAUAAGGUUUAGGCAAAUAAUGAUGAACAAAAAUGGUCAUUCUGUGUUCCUGCUGACCCAGCACAGUGGGGACGCUGUGUAGGACAUGACCUUUGGGGGAAGGGAACACAAGAACUCAGCGUGGGGGAUUCAGAAAAGAAGUCGCACGUAUUGAAGCCAGUAACGCCAAGCCAGUGAAUUCUCCUUGACGAGAAAGACCCACUUACUCUGCAAAAGAGAUAUAUGACAGCUGACAAUCCCUGGAGGAGAAUCUUUCUACUAAAUUGGUAAGGGAUGCUAAGCAAAUGAUGUGGACUCAGGAAACAACGCAUUUCAUGAUAUACGGUUGCCUCUCAAGGUGAAUUCGAGACCCCUCUUGAAUUACAAAGAGUUGAAAACAUUCAAGUACAGAAUAAACUAUUACUACGAAUACGCUCAUAUGACACAAGAACAAUCUCUGAGCUUCUUUGAGGAUGUCCAGAUGACUGCUGACUGCACUAAUUGCAUCAAUCGUGUAUCCAUACAGGUUCUUUCUAUAAAAUAGUGGUCGCUAGUUGUGAGGCGUUAAGCCUUCAUGGAUAUAAACAGACUAUUCCACCUAAGUGAUCUGGCAGAAGCUUAGUUUUCUACCACAACAUCCACGGUCCUCCCUCCCUCCCUUCCUAGCUGGUCAGAAAAGCUACUCAGAAUAAAGACUACAUUUCCCAGCCAUCUUUGCAGCUAGGUUUAUCCACCUGACUAAAUUCCACCG
rnacentral:lncRNA from 1 species